AAUAAAAGGAAAAGGAAAGGCAGCAAGGGUUAGCUUGUUUGAGAGGCGCUAAUAUUUGACCUGCUGGUGGCUUGUUGCUUCUAGAUUUGAAUUUACUCUCGUCUUUCUAAUAGGAUAGGGCAGAUGGGACCGGAAGUGGAGCUGGAGAGAACACAAGUGAAUGACACUGAAGAACAGGGGGCGGGGCAAGCCAGGGAUGCUGGGAGCCCAGGCCUGGACAGAAAGGGUGGAGAGUCUGAGGCUGAUCAAGACAACAAGGUUGCAUUUGCUAUGUUGGACCAGCUGAAGGAUUUCAGUGAGAACUUUCUGGAAGUGGAAGAUGGGGAGAUGAAUGAGUUCAUGUCCAAGAUGAUUGUUCAUUGGGAGCAGGAGGACUUUGACCUAAGAAGAUGUGUCUGACCAAUGACAAGCACUCAGCAGACAGCGAUGGCAAGCUGGGGGUGGGUGAUGACCAAGAUUAAGACUGUGCUUAAGAGUCGUGGGCCUCCACCUACAGAGCUUCUUCCUGACAGGUGGAUCAUGACAUUCCACAACUCCAUCAUGCCAGUCCAUCUCCCCCGAGAGAUGAGGGAGGUUACCUGGUCUAGACCUCACUUCCUUUGAUCUGGAAACAUCAGAGUAAACCGAGUGUUUGGGUCAUUCUCACAAAGACCUUCACUUCCUUUCUUUAUUCAGAGUUCAGUAGAAUUUGUGGAAAUGGCAGAGGUUGGAACUAUUCAGUGUGACAGAAUGAAUAAGACUGACCCUUGAAAUGUAUAUUUUACAGAUUCAGAUUGUACUUUUUGUGUGGCCUAUGGGUUCAGCUUUGUAACUUUCCAUUCUGGUUUGUUUUGUUACUCAGGAUGAGUUUGGAAAUAAUGUCUUGUCAAUCUUUCUUUAUUUCCGUAGGAAUAUCAGGAACCUCUCAAGGGAGGUAACGGAGUCCCUCACCUUGCAAGUGGUCAACCAGAUUGGCCCCUGCAAGACUUGUGAAAUGAUCAUUGGCGUGUGUAAAUGAGCAUGUUGUCCAGUGGAAAUGCAUUAUCCUAGCUACUUUAGCAGAUGGUAACAGGCUUUUGCCAGUAGGCUCAGGCAGGGGAAGGAGACGUCUGUCGCAGCACUGCUGUAUUGCUGUACCGCUGCCAUUAAUGGAAGGAAAAUAUGGGACAAGGUAAGACGAGCCUAGAGAACUUGGGAGGAUAGUUUAGAUUUGCUUUAGAUUUGUCACACUAAGUAAGUUUGGAGUCCUCUUUAUUUUGUAUGUGAAUUUUCACUCCUAAAGGUUUUAUUUUGUUUCUCUUCUGUGUUCCUCACAGGACAUAAGUCAACUGGGCCUCGAUGUCUAGCAGUCAGAAGAAAGCAAUCAUUUCCAUGUCAUUGUUGGUGAUCUGAGUCCAGAAAUCCCCACCGAUGAUGUCAAAGCACUCUUUGCUCGUUUUGGGAAAAUAUCAUGAGUGAGCUGUUCAGUAGUUUCUGAAUCACAUGGGAGGUGUUCAGUUUCAGUAGUUUCUAGUCCUCUAAGUAAUGUGGAGUAUGAGUGUUUCAUGGCUUUCUCCUUCCUUGCAUCUGUUGCUGAUGGUGUGUAUUGUGAUGUAGUGAUGCUGGCAUAGUGAAGGACCUGGUCCCUGGGAAGCCCAAUGGAUACGGCUUCAUCUUCAUCAACAAAUGGGCUAGUAGAUGUGUAGUGCAGAGAUAUGGAAAUGUCCUGGAAAGGCUCAGCACAGCAGAUGUUAAUGUUUCUCAUUUUUCACUGACUGUACGGAGUGUGAGAGUGGUCUUUGUACGCCUGUGCUGGAGCCGACUACCCUGCUCAUAAUCAGGCUCUACUCCAAACUCUCCUGAGUCAGUGCAUCAGCUCAUGGGUCUGUGCAACUGUGCAGCAAACGGGGGAAAAUGUUUCAUCUGUAUAGCAGUUGAGCUUCAGAACUAGUCCAGAUAUAGUCCAGAAUAUUCCUAACAGUCUCAGGAGGGUUUAGUCUUUAUACACUUUCUUCAGUCUUGGUUCAGUAAUCAUUUUUUUAAUAUACAGUAUUUUCCAACAUUAUGUCCAAAAUGGAUCAGAAAACAAAUAUUCAAUUUGACACCAUUUAUCUCCAGAUCACAGUUUAUUUAAAAAAAACAAAACAAAACAAUGGCCUCAUUCGUCUCCCAUGGUACCCAUUACAAUAAAACUGUAUCUUUUGGUCAGUCCUGGCCUCAAAGCCAGACUUGCCACACAGACCAAAAUUGGUCAUCCACACUUCCUGCACACUUCCUUCUAUAAGUCAUUUAUUACUUUAAUAAUGUAAUUUUAUUACAUAAUUUCCCCCUUUCAUGGCUUUUUGUCAUGAACAUCUUCCUGCUUUCUCUUUUUGAUGUUACAUUGUUAUUAAUUGUUUAAAUCAACAAAUUGUAUAACACUGUUGUGACUUAGUUGAUUGUAUCUGCUACAAACUACUGAAUUAGUAGGCUGACAUGUGUCCCUUAACACUUCCUUUUUACCCAUGUGGCUCUCUCUGCCAGCAGAGUCCACGCGUAGUCCAUUCAAUUCAUAAACGGUGAAACCCAGUGUGUGCAAUAGAACUGAAAAUUAUUCGUAAUAUAAAUAACUUUAAAAGUAGUAUCAUGUGAUUUUUAAUUUGUAAUUUAUACUAAGCUUAACACAUUCCUGCCUUCUGUGAUGUCAGGAAGGCUCUCAUGCUGCAUGCAGUUACAACUAUAGUAAAUAUACUGGAUGAAUAUCGGUAUGGUACUGGAUGAUUAAACACAUUUUACAUCAAAAUGAAAGCAAACAAAGGUAAAAGGGAACAAAAGUAAGAACAGAACACAUCUCCACCGUCCCCACAUACUGUCAGCCAUCCCUGUGAUGGCAGAAGCUGAGUGUACAUAACUGACACAGCGAAGCAGGCCAGUAUAAUCACUGGUCUAAUGUAGAGCAGUGCUCGCUGCCAGUUUACACACCACCAUGAACAGCCAUGUUAAAACCUUCCAGCCUCCUAAUGGCCUAAUCGCUUAGAUUCAGUAGAAGGAAAUAAAGAGGGGAAAAACAUAGACAAAUAGAAUACAAAAACGAUAAAAAGCAAACCAGAAAGUCAUCGUGUAGCCUCCUGGCUCCUGCUUGUUUCCCCCAAGAACAAAUAGACACUGUUAGAGACAUAGACAUAAUUUAGUCUAAGUGGUGACACAAAGUCCCGCGGCUGCGCCUGUAUGAGGUUGUCCCGCACAACAUCCAGGUUCUUAUCCGUCACUGGCUGUCCAGCCAACCUUUGGACUUCCACAGACUUCCGGUCAUCCCAGAGGAGUCAGGAGCUGUGGAUGUCAUAUGGCUGACAAUGUGACAUGAUGGUAAAGCUUUACAUGAAAACGUAGCCCAGAGCCCAUCUGCUGAAUUGCCAGCCUCUUGUCAUACACCACCACUGAAGGGUGUGUUAUAACAGUCCAAACAGCAACAGCUCCAGCUCCAGGUCGAAGCAACGGAAGCCCUGCACAAAUUCAGUUAAUGAAUCACAUAGAUCAAAACUCUGGAGAACAAUAAACUAAUCAUUAAAACUGGAGGAGGAGGGGAGAAG